CCACACAGUAAACGAUGGAUACUCGCUGUUUGCGAUACAAUGUAAGCGGCCAAGCGAAAGCGUUAAGUAUCCCACCUGGGGAGUACGCCGGCAACGGUGAAACUCAAAGGAAUUGACGGGGGCCCGCACAAGCGGAGGAACAUGUGGUUUAAUUCGAUGAUACGCGAGGAACCUUACCCGGGCUUGAAUUGCACUCGAAUUAUGGGGAAACCCAUAAGCCGCAAGGCGAGUGUGAAGGUGCUGCAUGGUUGU
rnacentral:rRNA from 1 species